AUUUAUGUACAUGAAAAUAAUCUUAUCUCAUGUUUGCACUGUGAUGAAUUCAACUUGUGAUGAAGCACAAAAUAUGGUUAAUAAGUUCAUAGAGUGAAAGUCAGUAAAUGGAAAUGAAGAGAGGAAUCUAUUUUCACUGAAGAUCAGACGUAUUUUUCAACAUCAUGGCCAUUUCUGAGAUGGUUAUAAAAGUAUAGCAUGAAACGAAAAACCCACAGAACUAUAACUCUAAGUUAGAGUUCUGUGGAAAAACCAGAACAAGUUGUGUUCUAUGAUCAGUUUUUUUUAGUCAAUGGCCUUAUCUGCCAAAGCUACUGUCCAGUUGUUUUUCUCAGCAAAAGAAUUUCAAUUUCCUACAUUUUUCAAAUGAAAAGAUAUGCAACAUAUUUCCUGUAUAGUUAUGAGGAUGGGGCAAAAUUAAUUCUAACCUACACGAAAAUUAUGGACAUCCAGCUAAUUGAAGACAAAACGAUAGAUAUUCAAAAAAUAUUUGUGAAUAGAAAAGUUAUUAGCGUCUAUGAUUGUAUUAGUUCUUUUUUUUUCCUUCGUUUUGAUAGUAAAUAAGUAUUCUUAUUUUAUUGUACACACCCCAUUUUUUUUCAUGUAUAAAAUUUCCUUUUUAUGCAUAAUAAAGGAUAUUUUAACCGUCCCCAAUGCCCAGAAGUCUUCUAUAGGUAUAAUUCUGUUAUUAUCAAUAAUCUCAAGUCAAGGAAACAAAGAUAUUUAUCUUAAAUUAUUUAUUUGUAUAAACAGAACAUGGUUAAUUAAACCAUCCUCCUAA